AUUGAACGCUGGCGGCAGGCCUAACACAUGCAAGUCGAGCGAGCGGCGGACGGGUGAGUAAUGUAUGGGGACUGCCCGAUAGAGGGGGAUAACUACUGGAAACGGUGUCUAAUACCGCAUACUGUAGGAUAACCCAUAUGGGAUUAGCUCGUAGGUAAGGGAAAGGCUUAACUAGGCGACGAUCCCUAGCUGGUCUGAGAGGAUGAUCAGCCACACUGGGACUGAGACACGGCCCAGACUCCUACGGAGGCAGCAGUGGGGAAUAUUGCACAAUGGGCGCAAGCCUGAUGCAGCCAUGCCGCGUGUAUGAAGAAGGCCCUAGGGUUGUAAAGUACUUUCAGUGGGGAGGCGUUACCCACAGAAGAAGCACCGGCUAACUCCGUGCCAGCAGCCGCGGUAAUAC
rnacentral:rRNA from 1 species